rnacentral:rRNA from 1 species
GACGAACGCUGGCGGCGUGCUUAACACAUGCAAGUCGAACGGACAGGCCCUGCUUUUGUGGGGUGCUCGAGUGGCGAACGGGUGAGUAACACGUGAGUAUCCUGCCCUUGACUUUGGGAUAACUUCUGGAAACUCGGGCUAAUACCGGGUAGGAGCUCCUGCUGCAUGGUGGGGGUUGGAAAGUUUCGGCGGUUGGGGAUGGACUCGCGGCUUAUCAGCUUGUUGGUGGGGUAGUUGCUUACCAAGGCUUUGACGGGUAGCCGGCCUGAGAGGGUGACCGGCCACAUUGGGCCUGAGAUACGGACCAGACUCCUACGGGAGGCAGCAGUGGGGAAUAUUGCAGAAUGGGCGGAAGCCUGAUGCAGCAACGCCGCGUGCGGGAUGACGGCCUUCGGGUUGUAAACCGCUUUCGCCUGUGACGAAGCGUGAGUGACGGUAAUGGGUAAAGAAGCACCGGCUAACUACGUG